UUCCGGGACCUAGAUGUAUUAUGUUGUGAUUAAUUUAGUGAACUAUAGCAUCAUCAAAAACAUUAAUAAAACCUAGCAUGCAUAAUCUACUAAUGCAUUAAUAAACAAGACAUAGUAUGACCCCUAAUCCUAAGAAAACUAAUAAAGCAAAAGCUCCCACUUAAACUUUUAUGGAUCUCAUCCACCUAACUCCUUUUGGCCUCCAUUUCAUGGGCUUCUUGGAUUAACUGCAACCAGUAACUCUACUCUAUUCUAUUUACUACUUAAAUAAAAUUACAAAAAUACUAAACGAUAUCACUAGUAGAAAAUAUGUUUUUUACCACCCCACAUUUGCUACGGUUAUUUUAAAAACCGUAGCAAUAUUUUAGUUAUUUCGGAAUUACCUCAAGAAACAAUAAAAAAAUGCUACGAUUUUUAUAACCGUAGCAUUAAAAAGAUACCCCGCCCCAAAAGAAAGAACAAUAAACCCUUCUCAAUUUAUUUUCGACCCAGCAGCCCCCUUCAAUUCAUUUUCACUCCUUCUCAACCCCUUACUAAGCUAAGUAUUCAACUCACAUCGCCACCGUUCAAUACUCACAUCGCCGCCGUUCAGGUCGCUGCCAGUUUGGGUUGCCGACGAUUCGAGUUCGCGUGGUCCAUUUUCCUCUCUCUCUCAUGCGUGGUUCCUUUUCUUCUCCCUCCGUUCUUCUCAUUUUUGACCUGCAGUUUGCCGCCGUCUUUACCGGCCAACUGCAAUCACCAUAAUUUGUGCUGCUUCCGACGUCCGUCCUGUAGUCCCACAAUUCCCAUUGAAGCGCACCUCUCCAUUCAGUUGAGCUAGUUGAAUUAGUUGGUGGGUCCUUCAAAUGAGUUGAAGAUUGGGGGAGAAACACAAUCGUAUUUCUUGCUCAGUUUCGACAACGCUGCGCUUCUAUCACCCACAAUUCUGAUACUAUUCUCUGAUAAGGUUUCCAAGACGACAAGAAAAAGGGUCAUUCACUACUACAAAGAUCGACGAAGUUCGAGACAAGUUGGCCCAAUUUUUUUACCGAUACUUGUUGUUGAACUUCAUGAUACUUGUUGUUGAACUUCAUGUUCGUUUCUAGUUUAGUUUGGAAUUUAGAUUAGAAAUAUACUUGAUGAAUGUUUUGUUUAUUGUACUUUGUAAUACACAUGGAAUAUGUGUGUGUGUGUACGCGCGCGCGCGUGUGUGCGCGUGCGUGCGUGUGUGCGUGUGUGUAAAAAUAUAUACAUGUACAAAUAUAUACAAGGAAAAUAUACAGGUUGCAGGCUGCUGAUUUUUUUUAAAAAAUAAAUAAAUAAAAACGUAAGGAAAACGCUAUGGUUCUACUUUAAAAACAGUAGCAAAAGAUUGUUAAACGCUACGGUGUUCUUAGCGGAAAAUACAAAAACGCUAUGGUUAUUUCAAAAAAUCGUAGCAAAUAACUUUAAAACGCUACGGUUGUAAACCAAAGCAAAUAACUUACCUUAUUCACUACGCCCACUACGGUUCAAAACCGUAGC